rnacentral:rRNA from 1 species
AGGGGGCGGUGAAAGCCCGGGGCUUAACCCCGGGUUCUGCCGGACCGACUGCCGAGCUUUGAGCACACUAGGGGCAGGUGGAAUUCCGGGUGUAGCGGUGGAAUUGCGUAGAGAUUCCGGAAGAACACCGGUGGCGAAGGCGGCCUGCCGGGGUGUGGCUGACGCUGAGGCGCGACAGCGUGGGGAGCAAACAGGAUUAGAUACCCUGGUAGUCCACGCCGUAAACGAUGGGCACUAGGUGCUCGGGGGAGCGACCCCUUGGGUGCCGGCGCUAACGCAUUAAGUGCCCCGCCUGGGGAGUACGGCCGCAAGGCUGAAACUCAAAGGAAUUGACGGGGGCCCGCACAAGCGGUGGAGCAUGUGGUUUAAUUCGACGCAACGCGAAGAACCUUACCUAGGCUUGACAUGUACGCGAAGGCCGUGA